CUUGUCCUGCGUGCCCGCAGCCGCAGUCACUCCUAGCUCCCAAAAGCGUAUAAUUUAAGUGUUGCAGAUAAAAAGCUAGUAGAUGGACUUUCGGUGAGUCGACGCCAGUCCGCCCUCUGGUAUGUACUGCUCUCGGUGCACCAUUCUGCAGGGGACGAGGCUCCAUGGGAUCAACUGCUUGGCACCGGAAUCAGUGAAGUGACCUUGAGCAAACAAGAGUGUUCACAGCACCCCGACGCUCUGAAUUUUUUAGCACGGAAUCACACAAUAGGACUCUGGCCUAUCUUGUUGGUCUGUAGUACGGAGUAUUGAUUAAGAGGGACAGUGGGGGGCUUUCGUAUUUCAUGGUAAGAGGUGAAAUUCUGGGAUUUUUGAAAGACGAAUUUUUGCGAAAGCUUUUGCCAAGGAUGUUUUCAUUGAUCAAAAACAAAAGUUGGGGGCUCGAAGACGUUAAGACACCGUGGUAGUCUCAACCAUAAAUGAUGCCGACUAGGGAUUGGCAGGUGUUCCAUUGAUGACCCUGCCACCACUUUAUAAAAAAUCAAAGUUUGUGGGUUCCGGGGGGAGUAUGGUCGCAAGGCUGAAAAUUAAAGGAAUUGAAGGAAGGGCACCACCAGGCGUGGAGCCUGCGGCUUUAUUUGACUCAACAGGGGGAAACUCACCACGUCCAGACACGGGGAGGAAUGACAGAAUAAGAGCUCCUUCUUGAUUCGGUGGGUGGUGGUGCACCGCUGUUCUUAGUUGGUGGGAGCCUCUCAGGUUGAUUCCGGUAACGAAGGAGACCUCAGCCUGCUAAAUAGUCACGGGUACCUGGUACACGCCUGACUUCUAGAGGACUAUCGGCGCCUUGCCCAAGGAAAUGGGCCCA
rnacentral:rRNA from 1 species